GUUAUGUUUACAAAUGAGUUAAUCCAGCCUGUAGUGGCUGUCUCAUUUAGAGGCGCUUCCGCGUUUCUCACUGGGAGAAGACGCCAGCGUCUGUAGCCAUGCUUUCCUAUGAGACUAGCUGAAUGUGCGCGUGGCUCUAGCCCCGCAUGCAGCUGAUGACAUCAGAAGAGGGAGGAGAGUCCCAGCGCCGCUGGAAAAGAGGUAAG